rnacentral:rRNA from 1 species
UACGUAGGUGGCAAGCGUUGUCCGGAUUUACUGGGCGUAAAGAGCGCGCAGGCGGUCGUUCAAGUCGCGUGUGAAAGCCCCCGGCUCAACUGGGGAGGGUCACGCGAUACUGAUCGACUCGAAGGCAGGAGAGGGUAGUGGAAUUCCUGGUGUAGCGGUGAAAUGCGCAGAUAUCAGGAGGAACACCGAUUGCGAAGGCAGCUCGCUGGGACGUUACUGACGCUGAGACGCGAAAGCGUGGGGAGCAAACAGG